AAAACUCACCAGGUCAGGACACGGUAAGGAUUGACGGACUGAAGGCUCUUUCUCGAUUCCGUGGAAAGUGGUGCAUGGCCGUUUUGGUUGGUGGAUCGAUCCGUCUGGUUAAUUCCGUUAACGAACGAGACCUCGGCACUCCGAAUAGCGCGGCGGACGUCGCGGCCUCCGGGCCGUCUUCCGCACGAGCUUCUUAGAGGGACCGUCCCCCGCCGGGGAAGGAGGUGCGAGGCAACGACAGGUCUGUGAUGCCCUUAGAUGUUCUGGGCCGCACGCGCAUUACACUGACGCGUCCAACGGGUGACUCCCGACCCGAAGGGGCCGGGGAAUCCGCAAGGCGCGUCGUGAUGGGGAUUGAACGUUGCAAUUGUUGUUCACGAACGAGGAAUUCCUAGUAGGCGCGGGUCAUCAACCCCGCGCCGAUUACGUCCCUGCCCUUUGUACACACCGCCCG
rnacentral:rRNA from 1 species